GGUAUACCCAUGUCUGGCUAAAGG
rnacentral:piRNA from 1 species